CCUACGGGAGGCAGCAGUAAGGAAUAUUGGUCAAUGGAGGCAACUCUGAACCAGCCAUGCCGCGUGCAGGAUGAAGGCCCUAUGGGUCGUAAACUGCUUUUAUACCGGAGAAAACCCGAGUACGUGUACUCGGUUGAUAGUAUGGUAAGAAUAAGCAUCGGCUAACUUCGUGCCAGCAGCCGCGGUAAGACGAAGGAUGCAAGCGUUAUCCGGAUUCAUUGGGUUUAAAGGGUGCGUAGGCGGACCAGUAAGUCAGUGGUGAAAUCUCUUUGCUUAACAAAGAAACUGCCAUUGAUACUGCUAGUCUAGAGUAUAGAUGACGUUGGCGGAAUAUGACAUGUAGUGGUGAAAUACUUAGAUAUGUCAUAGAACACCGAUUGCGAAGGCAGCUAACGAAACUAUAACUGACGCUGAGGCACGAAAGUGCGGGGAUCAAACAGGAUUAGAUACCCUGGUAGUCCGCACCGUAAACGAUGAUUACUCGUUGUUGGCAAUAUGACCGUCAGCGACCAAGCGAAAGCGAUAAGUAAUCCACCUGGGGAGUACGCCGGCAACGGUGAAACGUCAAANAGAGUAGAGACGNGAGAGNGCGAGGACGACGACGAGGGAGGAGG
rnacentral:rRNA from 1 species